UACGGGGGGGGCAAGCGUUGUUCGGAAUUAUUGGGCGUAAAGGGCUCGUAGGCGGUCUGUUGCGUCGGUAGUGAAAACUCAGGGCUUAACCCUGAGCCUGCUUCCGAUACGGGCAGACUAGAGGUAUGCAGGGGAGAACGGAAUUCCUGGUGUAGCGGUGAAAUGCGCAGAUAUCAGGAGGAACACCGGUGGCGAAGGCGGUUCUCUGGGCAUUACCUGACGCUGAGGAGCGAAAGUGUGGGGAGCGAACAGG
rnacentral:rRNA from 1 species